rnacentral:rRNA from 1 species
GAUGAACGCUAGCGGCAGGCCUAAUACAUGCAAGUCGAGGGGUAGUGGAAGCUUGCUUCCAUGAGACCGGCGCACGGGUGCGUAACGCGUAUGCAACCUACCUCUAUCUGGGGGAUAGCCCGGAGAAAUCCGGAUUAACACCGCAUAAAAUCACAGUACGGCAUCGUACAAUGAUCAAAUAUUUAUAGGAUAGGGAUGGGCAUGCGUGUCAUUAGUUAGUUGGCGGGGUAACGGGCCCACCAAGACCACGAUGACUAGGGGAGUCUGAGAGGAUGGCCCCCACCACU